GUUAUAGGGUCAAGUGACUAAGUGCAUGUGGUGGAUGCCUUGGCGAUUACAGGCGAUGAAGGACGUGGUAGCCUGCGAAAAGCUUCGGGGAGCUGGCAAACAAGCUUUGAUCCGGAGAUAUCCGAAUGGGGAAACCCACUCUGCAAGGAGUAGCCACAGCUGAAUACAUAGGCUGUAGGCGGCGAACCUGGCGAACUGAAACAUCUAAGUAGCCGGAGGAACAGAAAUCAACCGAGAUUCCCCAAGUAGUGGCGAGCGAACGGGGAGGAGCCUGCAAGAGAUAACGCACUGGUUAGUGGAACAGUCUGGAAAGAUUGGCCAUAGUGGGUGAUAGCCCCGUACGCGAAAACCAGCGCGCGAGACUAGGCUUGCGACAAGUAGGGCGGGACACGUGAAAUCCUGUCUGAAGAUGGGGGGACCAUCCUCCAAGGCUAAAUACUCGUAAUCGACCGAUAGUGAACCAGUACCGUGAGGGAAAGGCGAAAAGAACCCCGGGAGGGGAGUGAAAUAGAUCCUGAAACCGCAUGCAUACAAACAGUGGGAGCGGACUUGUUCCGUGACUGCGUACCUUUUGUAUAAUGGGUCAGCGACUUACGUUCAGUAGCCAGCUUAACCGCAUAGGGGAGGCGUAGCGAAAGCGAGUCUGAUAAGGGCGUAAGAGUGAAAACUCGAGUUGCUGGGCGUAGACCCGAAACCAGAUGAUCUACCCAUGGCCAGGAUGAAGGUGCGGUAACACGCACUGGAGGUCCGAACCCACUAAUGUUGAAAAAUUAGGGGAUGAGCUGUGGGUAGGGGUGAAAGGCUAAACAAAUCUGGAAAUAGCUGGUUCUCCCCGAAAGCUAUUUAGGUAGCGCCUCAUGUAUCACUGCCGGGGGUAGAGCACUGUAAUGGUUGGAGGGGUCAUUGCGAUCUACUUCGCCAUAGCAAACUCCGAAUACCGGCAAGUGCGAGCAUGGGAGACAGACGGUGGGUGCUAACGUCCAUCGUCAAGAGGGAAACAACCCAGACCGCCAGCUAAGGUCCCCAAGUCAUGGUUAAGUGGAAAACGAGGUGGGAAGGCAUAGACAGUCAGGAAGUUGGCUUAGAAGCAGCCAUCCUUCAAAGAAAGCGUAAUAGCUCACUGAUCGAGUCGUCCUGCGCGGAAGAUGUAACGGGGCUCAAACCAUGCACCGAAGCUGCGGAUGUGCACCUGAUUCAAGCGGCUUGUUGGAGCGCUUGAGCGGUAGUAAAGGCUAACCUGGCGCACGCCAGGUUAAGCGCCGACAGGCGCGGCCGGAACUAAAGCGUCCCUCACCGAUCGAGGUCGGUGAUAAGGGGAUGAGCGAUUCAAGACAGGCAGCUUGAAUCAGGUGCACAUGGUAGGGGAGCGUUCUGUAGGUCUGCGAAGGUGUCUUGUAAAGGAUGCUGGAGAUAUCAGAAGUGCGAAUGCUGACAUGAGUAGCGAUAAAGGGUGUGAAAAGCACCCUCGCCGAAAGCCCAAGGUUUCCUGCGCAACGUUCAUCGGCGCAGGGUGAGUCGGCCCCUAAGGCGAGGCCGAAAGGCGUAGUCGAUGGGAAACGGGUCAAUAUUCCCGUACCGGUCACAGAUGCGAUGGGGGGACGGAGAAGGUUAGCUCGGCCGGGUGUUGGACGUCCCGGUUUAAGCGUGUAGGUGUGCCUGCCAGGCAAAUCCGGUGGGCUUAACUGAGGCGUGAUGACGAGGAUCUUCGGAUCUGAAGUGAGUGAUACCCUGCUUCCAGGAAAAGCCUCUAAGCUUCAGUCUGUGAACGACCGUACCGCAAACCGACACAGGUGGGCAGGAUGAAAAUUCCAAGGCGCUUGAGAGAACUCAGGAGAAGGAACUCGGCAAAUUGAUACCGUAACUUCGGGAGAAGGUAUGCCCCGGUAGCGUGUAGUCCCUCGCGGACGAAGCGUGAUGGGGCCGCAGAGAAUCGGUGGCUGCGACUGUUUAAUAAAAACACAGCACUCUGCAAAGGCGAAAGCCGACGUAUAGGGUGUGACGCCUGCCCGGUGCUGGAAGGUUAAGUGAUGGGGUGCAAGCUCUUGAUCGAAGCCCCAGUAAACGGCGGCCGUAACUAUAACGGUCCUAAGGUAGCGAAAUUCCUUGUCGGGUAAGUUCCGACCUGCACGAAUGGCGUAACGAUGGCCACACUGUCUCCUCCUGAGACUCAGCGAAGUUGAAAUGUUUGUGAAGAUGCAAUCUACCCGCGGCUAGACGGAAAGACCCCAUGAACCUUUACUGCAGCUUUGCAUUGGACUUUGACGGGACCUGUGUAGGAUAGGUGGGAGGCUGUGAGACGUGGUCGCCAGAUCGCGUGGAGCCACCCUUGAAAUACCACCCUGGUGUCGUUGAGGUUCUAACCUUGGUCCGUGAAUCCGGAUCGGGGACCGUGCAUGGCAGGCAGUUUGACUGGGGCGGUCUCCUCCCAAAGCGUAACGGAGGAGUACGAAGGUCUUCUAAGCACGGUCGGACAUCGUGCGCAUAGUGCAAUGGCAAAAGAAGGCUUGACUGCGAGACCCACAAGUCGAGCAGGUGCGAAAGCAGGUCAUAGUGAUCCGGUGGUUCUGUAUGGAAGGGCCAUCGCUCAACGGAUAAAAGGUACUCUGGGGAUAACAGGCUGAUUCCGCCCAAGAGUUCAUAUCGACGGCGGAGUUUGGCACCUCGAUGUCGGCUCAUCACAUCCUGGGGCUGUAGUCGGUCCCAAGGGUAUGGCUGUUCGCCAUUUAAAGUGGUACGUGAGCUGGGUUUAAAACGUCGUGAGACAGUUUGGUCCCUAUCUGCCGUGGGCGCUGGAUAUUUGAGGGGGGCUGCUCCUAGUACGAGAGGACCGGAGUGGACGAACCUCUGGUGUACCGGUUGUGACGCCAGUCGCAUCGCCGGGUAGCUAAGUUCGGAAGAGAUAACCGCUGAAAGCAUCUAAGCGGGAAACUCGCCUCAAGAUAAGAUAUCCCGGGGAUUCAAUCCCCCUGAAGGGUCGUCCCAGACCAGGACGUUGAUAGGCGGGGUGUGGAAGCGCAGCAAUGCGUUAAGCUAACCCGUACUAAUUGCCCGUGAGGCUUGACCCUAUAACAG
rnacentral:rRNA from 1 species